rnacentral:rRNA from 1 species
UACGUAGGGUGCAAGCGUUGCCCGGAUUUAUUGGGCGUAAAGGGCGCGUAGGCGGCUCGGCACGUCCGUUGUGAAAUCGCCCGGCUCAACUGGGCGGGGUCGGCGGAUACGGCCGAGCUGGAGCAAGCUAGGGGGUAAUGGAAUUCCCGGUGUAGUGGUGGAAUGCGUAGAUAUCGGGAGGAACACCAGUGGCGAAGGCGGUUACCUGGAGCUUUGCUGACGCUGAUGCGCGAAAGCGUGGGGAGCGAUCCGGAUUAGAUACCCGGGUAGUCCACGCCGUAAACGAUGCGGACUAGGUGUCGGGGGUAUCGACCCCCUCGGCGCCGCAGCUAACGCAUUAAGUCCGCCGCCUGGGGACUACGGCCGCAAGGCUAAA